CCUACGGGUGGCAGCAGUGGGGAAUAUUGGACAAUGGGGGAAACCCUGAUGCAGCGACGCCGCGUGAGCGAUGAAGUAUUUCGGUAUGUAAAGCUCUAUCAGCAGGGAAGAAAAUGACGCUACCUGUCUAAGAAGCCGCGGCUAAAUACGUGCCAGCAGCCGCGGUAAUACGUCGGGGGCAAGCGUUAUCCGGAUUUACUGGGUGUAAAGGGGGCGUAGUCGGUCCUGCAAGGCAGAUGGGAAAGCCCGGGGCUCAACCCCGGGACUGCAUUUGGAACUGUAGAGCUAGAGUGUCGGAGAGGCAGGCGGAAUUCCUAGUGUAGCGGUGAAAUGCGUAGAUAUUAGGAGGAACACCAGUGGCGAAGGCGGCCUGCUGGACGAUGACUGACGUUGAGGCUCGAAAGCGUGGGGAGCAAACAGGAUUAGAUACCCUUGUAGUC
rnacentral:rRNA from 1 species